rnacentral:rRNA from 1 species
CCUACGGGGGGCUGCAGUGGGGAAUAUUGGACAAUGGGGGCAACCCUGAUCCAGCCAUGCCGCGUGUGUGAAGAAGGCCCUCGGGUUGUAAAGCACUUUCAGUGAGGAAGAACGCCUGGUGGUUAAUACCCAUCAGGAAAGACAUCACUCACAGAAGAAGCACCGGCUAACUCCGUGCCAGCAGCCGCGGUAAUACGGAGGGUGCGAGCGUUAAUCGGAAUUACUGGGCGUAAAGCGCGCGUAGGUGGCUUGAUAAGCCGGUUGUGAAAGCCCCGGGCUCAACCUAGGAACGGCAUCCGGAACUGUCAAGCUAGAGUGCAGGAGAGGAAGGUAGAAUUCCCGGUGUAGCGGUGAAAUGCGUAGAGAUCGGGAGGAAUACCAGUGGCGAAGGCGGCCUUCUGGACUGACACUGACACUGAGGUGCGAAAGCGUGGGUAGCAAACAGGAUUAGAUACCCGGGUAGUC